AAAAUAGGGGACUGGAAAGAAUUUUCUUACAGCCCAUUUCAUCGUACCAAACCUGCUCUGAGAGAGUCUUCCACUUUUCAUAGUUGGGCGUGUCUGAUCAAGAACCAGAGAGGUUUUAGCUACGAGCCCCAGACCGAGAAACGAAGAAACUAGGUUUUUUCGAACAAUUUGGAAUCCAUCGAUCGAACAAAGAUACGAAAGAAAUGGAAAAUGCUUCAUCAGGUUCAUUAUCAUCAUUAACAGGCAAAAAACGUCAAAGAGAGGAAGAGACUGUAUCAGGAGGCAGCGAAGAACAUGACCACUCUGAUCAAUCCCUUUCACUCGAAGAUAAUUUGACUUUUAGCGAUACUUUGGUCGCUCUUCGCAUAAUGCGUGCUCAAUUUCCUCAUCUCGAUAAGGUCUCAAUUCAGCCUUUUAUUUUGCGGUCACAAUUAUAUAGCAGCAUAAAGGAUAGAACACAAGUGGAUAGGGAGCUAGAGUCAUUGAGGAGGGAGAGAGUUCUGCGUGUUUUCAAAUUAAACACUGGACAAGAUGAUCAUGCCAUAAUGUUUGUGGAUGACUAUUUGAAUCAGGUUGAACAUGUUGUGAAGAGAAUGGAAGCAAAGAAGCAUGAUGAUGUUGCAGUUUUUGAGUGGUUCAAAAUGCAUGUUAUGCAUUCCAAGCUAGAACCAAGUAUUGGACACGAGGAGCUCUGUUCACUUCUAUCAUCAGGGGGAAAGGUGAAAGAUCAACACAUCUCUCUCUUAAUCAAUGCUGGCCUCCUCACUCGACAACUUAUUGAUCCAAACAUCUACUGGUUUGCAAUUCCAAACAUCGGUUCGGUACUCAAGGGCCUCUCUCAGGGACGAAAGGAACUCUUGUCUUUUCUCAACCGUAGGAAAUACAAAGAGAUGAUGUUGGCUCUUUUGGAGAAGAAACGCCUCCGACUGUCUCCACUGGAUAUGAGAUUCCAUCUUCGUGAUCUGAUUGGUUCAGGUCACCUCAAAACUCUCCAGACACCAAGUGGCGUAGUUGUUCGGGUUGUAAAGGAUUAAACCCAGAUUGGACGCUAUCACCAGUUGAUCUCACCAAGUCACAAGACUGAAGUUGACAUUGUGACAUUGUACGCAUUGGAAUGAAUCAGUGCAAGAUGAUGCAAUAAUACUGAAAUCUCAUAUCAGAAAAGGCAAAUUUCUCAGUUGAAGUACCGACAUUUUCCAUUCAGAAUUUAGAAAGCUCCUCCAUACUUGAUGGCACUACUCACAUGACUCCUCUCUUCCACGCCUACUGCCCCUCUCUUUCUGGCUUCAAUUUCCCCAUUUGGGCUUCUCUUUCUUUGCUGGAUGAUACUGUGUUGCAUGACACAAACAGUUUGGGUAUUUUUCUGAUCUCACAAACUUGCUACUUCCUUGUCAUAUGUAUUAGUGAUUCAAAUUCUUCUCAGGAUUUUAUAUGCAUCUCACACAAUGAAGCAUUGAUACUUCAAAAAGGGUGACAUAUCCACAUCGGAUACUAAUACUCCUUGGAUACUUAUGGAUACGUAUCGGAUGCAUAUUAAUUAAUUUUUUUAUUAAUUUUGGAGUAUCGGAUACUUAAUUUUGAAGUAUCGGAUACUCCACGUCGCGUAUUACUUUUUUUACGAAAUUAGAAUUGUAGCAUAUCUCAAAUAACAUUGUACUAUAAUAUAAUUGUAAGGAUAAAUACGAGAAUAUUUUUUCUAGUACUUUUUUUAGUUCUUUGAUAAGAAGAACAUAUUGAGUUAAAGUAAUAGAAUUCGUUAAAUUGAUGUA